rnacentral:rRNA from 1 species
GUGCCAGCAGCCGCGGUAAUACGUAGGGUGCAGGCGUUAAUCGGAAUUACUGGGCGUAAAGCGUGCGCAGGCGGUUUGCUAAGAGAGAUGUGAAAUCCCCGGGCUUAACCUGGGAACUGCGUUUCUAACUGGCAGGCUUGAGUGUGGCAGAGGGGGGUGGAAUUCCACGUGUAGCAGUGAAAUGCGUAGAGAUGUGGAGGAACACCGAUGGCGAAGGCAGCCCCCUGGGCUAACACUGACGCUCAUGCACGAAAGCGUGGGGAGCAAACAGGAUUAGAUACCCUGGUAGUCC